CUGCGCCGCCUCGCUUUCUCACUCUCUCCCUCGGCAGCCGUCGCGCUCCCCGUCGUCGUGGUGCGGCCCAUCCUUGACGUCUUCCGCUCCGAUGACGUUGACGCCACCGUUGCCUCCGGCUCGCUCGCCGCGCUCCAAAAGAUUGUGUCCCUCACGGGCCAAGCGCUCAGGGAGGUCAUCGACGUCGUCGCUAGCUGUCGGACCGAGGUCGGGGCUCAGCCCGCCCAAGGAGGACAUGCUCAUGAGGAUGUUGCAGGUGGUCGUCGCAUGCCUCCGUGUACCCGCCGCGGCCGCUCUCAAGGACCAAAAAUGUCGCGGUCGCCGCACAAGAGGAAGCACUACGACGGAGGUGCCGUGGCGGCCGAGACGUCCAAGGUAUGUGAAGUAGAAGAUCUUGGCGGUGUAGUUGAAGUCACCGCACAGCCUUGCCCAGAAGACGGACGCGACGCUGCGCGCGACGAUGAAGAGGAAGAAGACCGGGUGGAGCUCCCUGGGGAGCUGCGCGUUAGUGGGGAGCCUUUGGUACAACGUCACGAACAGCACCAGGUGGUGCACCAUCCCAACGACGAAGAAGAAGAUGGGCACCUCGCGAAGCCCCAUCUUAGCGCCCAGCACCACGCCCACGAAGUUGCCGACGACGGCGAGGUGGUUGGUCGGGGUGGCCACCUUGGACAGCUGGCGGUCGCCGCAAGACAUCCACUGGCCGUAGAUCUUGAGGUCCAGGAGGAAGAUGGGCACCAUGAUAAUAUACUAGUCGUGCCGGAGUUCGCCUUCCGGUGCGGCGGCAAGCCCGGCAAGAUGUGGGAGGAGGACGAGGAGGUGCAGAGCCCCCUCGCCUUCAAGAAGCCCCGCCUCUUCAUGACUGCGUGA
rnacentral:misc_RNA from 1 species